CUGGGUACCGAAUUCAAUACUUUUUAGGCACCAACCGAAUUGCCUCUGUAGUAUCGAGUAUCGGAAAUUGCUGCACAAUUCAACACCCAAUUUUAAUACCUUAGGAGUAAAUUUCAUCAGAGUCAGUGAGCCAAUAAGCACGCAGCAUGCUUCUACCAAGAUCUAAUAUUGUUUGUGAUUGGCUGUCUAACGUUACACGUUGUAGAGACACACAGGAAAAACACUGUUACGCACAGUGACGGGCUCAUGUAGUAGGAGCUGAAAAAUAAAUAAAAAGAUUUGUAACAUAAUGUGCAAUGUUGUUAUUUCUUUCUUUUUAUAAUUGUAUUUUAUA